rnacentral:rRNA from 1 species
CAGCCGCUACGGUAAUACAGAGGGUGCGAGCGUUAAUCGGAUUUACUGGGCGUAAAGCGUGCGUAGGCGGCUUCUUAAGUCGGAUGUGAAAUCCCUGAGCUUAACUUAGGAAUUGCAUUCGAUACUGGGAAGCUAGAGUAUGGGAGAGGAUGGUAGAAUUCCAGGUGUAGCGGUGAAAUGCGUAGAGAUCUGGAGGAAUACCGAUGGCGAAGGCAGCCAUCUGGCCUAAUACUGACGCUGAGGUACGAAAGCAUGGGGAGCAAACAGGAUUAGAUACCCCUGUAGUCCCUGUCUCUUAUAC